rnacentral:rRNA from 1 species
GACGUAGGGCGCGAGCGUUGUCCGGAUUUAUUGGGCGUAAAGAGCUCGUAGGCGGCUUGUUGCGUCGACUGUGAAAACCCGCGGCUUAACUGCGGGCUUGCAGUUGAUACGGGCAGGCUAGAGUUCGGUAGGGGAGACUGGAAUUCCUGGUGUAGCGGUGAAAUGCGCAGAUAUCAGGAGGAACACCUAUGGCGAAGGCAGCUCGCUGGGACGGUAUUGACGCUGAGACGCGAAAGCGUGGGGAGCGAACAGG